GUGGCUCCUGUGGCCCCAGAAAUCAAGGAUGGGUGAGACCUCUUGCACAAGUGGAAGGCGACCCAUACUUGGUUUCAGGGGCUUCCGGAAUGC